AGAGUUCCCUUUACCUUGCCAGGGUCCAUGGCAAGGCAGCAGAGAUGGAUCUUCUGUCUUUGGAUAUCUCCUCUCCUACCUGCGGCAUUUGGAUUUCGGCUAAUAAAUAUCAGCUGUAUUAAACUGCCAGCACUGCUACUCCCAAAGAGUCUGUCAGCACCUUCACACACCUCAGGGAGAUCUGCAUCAUGAAAAUUCACUCCUAGACACACUGGCAGAGCAGAGCUGCAGGACAGGAAUGACUUUGGCCCUCUUAUGAGUUCGGGGGAUUGUUUUUGCUGAUGGUGUUCACAUGUUUAGAUGCAUCGGAUAUUUGCGGAGGACCCAGGAAAGAUGUAACCGAGAAAUAAAUCAACACACGCAACAGAUGGUGCUAUGAAGUGGAUCAGAAGGCACUGAGCAGCCGUCAUUAAUCUUCGUUCCCGCAAACCAGUCAGGACCCAGGAGUACGUGAGGAGCCAGGGCCAGGGAGCAGAGCUGGCUUCCCAGCAGCUACUGAGCAUCCGGCCAAGUCCAAAGAUUCGGCGUGAGAGAAAAAGAGGAAAGAGAGAGCGGUUUUGUAACGGCAAUGUGAUUCACAUUCCUACAUAUGGCAAUGGCUGGCACCAAAGAUACUCCCAUGAGCAGGAGCUGGGUCUGCCUCAUAGCUGGUGUUUUUGGCUUCUCCAGAGCAUAAGCUUGCAAUGAUGGCAAUCAAGCCCUUUGAGUAGCUCAGGUGAGCUUACUAUCUCUUCCCCCCCAACCCAAGGAACCAGAAAUGGGCUUGUCUGUCCAGUUGUGGCUGAGCCUCUAGGGGUCUCAUCUAACCCACAUAGAAACUGAUAGGAUCCCUGUCUUGGCUGUCAUAUGCACUGGAUCAUGUCCCUACAGCAUAACAAGAAGGUUAUUGUGCAUCAAAAAUUAGAUCCUGCCCCUUCCAUCUAAUGCACAUUACACAUAGUAUUACAGCUUUCAGGCACUCCUGUGAUAGAGGUCGGAAUCAUUUCCCCAAUUUUACAGCUAGGGAAACUGAGGCACAGAAAAGUGAAGUGACAUACUACAGGUCCCACAGUGUCAAAGCUGAGGAUAGGAUUCAAGAGCCCUGUCUCCCAGCCCCUUCAAUGAUACUCACUUCUAGCAUUGCUUCUAAGUGUCAGCCCCGUAGUGCAGCUGGGCAGUGGCUGCUUUACAAUCUCUGAUGCUGGAGCUCCUCCCACACUGCCUUUGUCACAAAUAUCUUAUUCAACACAGAGUGUGUCUGCAGCUCCGAAUUAGUGACUGUAGUUAAACACUUUAUUUCCAAAUGCUCAGAUCCUGUGGUGCUCUGGCUGGCCAUGUCAGUAGAUAGAUUCAAUAACUGGCUGAGGUUGCUCCUGGGGUUCAUAGUGGGUUCUGGCUGCUUAGAACAGUAGCAGAGACCCCCAGCUGAUGUAUACUACCUUAUAUUCCCUUCUGAUCUCUAGUCUCCUAGGCAUUAAGAAUGUUUGUUUCACUGCUCACUCAAAGAAGAUUCUAUAUGAAAGCAUCAGAGAUUUUCCACUACCAAUCCCUAUGACAUACUAUGCACUACUGUCAGCCUCAGGCCUACAUGAUGCAUUUAAAUGGGGCCACAGCUGUCUAUACCUUGUGUAUAAUUCACAUAGGCCCUCUGGGAGCAGGAAAAUCUAAUUUUAUUAGAUUCAUUAUCCUUUUCUUGAGAAUUAAUAGCUCCUGAGAGCCUCAGCCUAAUGUGCUUGAUUUUACAUUGUAAUUGAACUGCAGUGGAAAAAAUGCUGCCUUGAUCAAAAACUUCUAGCAAACUUCCCUCACCUGUAGGCAGUGCUGUUGUGUGUAUGUGACAUUGCAAGCUACGUUUCAGAGGGCCUGGAUCUCUUGAGAUGACUCUGCAGAGUGGUUUUUAUAGUGGCAAUAAAACACUGUUGUUCUUUCAUCCCCAGUGCUUUGGGUGUAGAGCUGGGUGAAUAACCAUUUUUUCUGGCUCACGGGAAAUUCCAAAAAAUAGUUGAAAAAAUUCAUUUCUGGUCAAACCUAAUAAAAUUUUUCCAAAAUUUCUGGAGAACUGAAAAGUUGAAAAAAACAUUAUUCUAAGUUGAAAAAAGUGUUUCAUGUCAGUUUUGACCAUUUUUAAAUGUUUUCAAUUGUUUAAAUAAAAUUAAAGGAUUUUUUUAAAACAAAAAGUCAUUUUGAACUGAAAAAUCAAACAUUUUAGUUUCGGGGCCCUUUUUCCUUCUUCAGGUUUGUUUUUUGGUUUUUUUUUAACUGAAACAAUUUUGGGACACUGACAAAAAAUGGGCAAAACAUUUUAGUAUCUCCAAAUCUGCAUUUUUCACUGGAAAAAAGUUUGUCAAAAAUUUUCAACCGGCUCUCAGCCGGAUGGACCAAAAAGCAUCAUCCGAUACGUCACUUUCAGGGAAGGUGAGGGGAAUGUCAUUUUCUUAUUAACAAACCUUGCAAUUCUAACAUUAUCAAAAUGCAUCUGUUUCCUGAAUUGGAUGCUGUGUUUGCUGGCUGGUACCAAGAUACUAGAGCGGUCUUAGUUCAUUAGUGUAAGCAACCUACCUACUCCCUGAACUUGCUGUAGCUGAAACUUGGUUUAGAAUCUUGCUUUUCCCACAGACACACAUACUCAAUUAGAAUGUGGAACUCAUUGCCACAAGAUACCAUUGACGCUAAGAGUUUAGUAGGCUUCAGUACCACUCCAAUGAAGGGUCUACAUUUUAAACAGAAUGACGAAUCAAUUUAUAUUGUAUUUGUUAGCAGCUAGACUUAGUAUUGCAUUGAGAAAAUGUGACUCCUGCUCCUAUGGAAUUGUGUAUAGUAAAUUAUGGACUGUUCUUGUAAUGGAAAAGCUUUCAGACCAAAUACGUACACAAGAGAAACACCAAAAAGAAGAUAGCUAUUUAGAAAUGUGGUCACCUCUUUUAGUGCACUCAGAGGACGGCUUCCCAGCCAGCAAGCCAAAUCCUUUAGCCAGGUUCUUUGAAUAUUAACCUGAUCCAGAACAAGGAAUACAUAAUGUACAAUGUAGUAUGUUAACAUUUUAUUGUAACUUAGCCUGUAUAAAAAGUUGUUUUUAAA